rnacentral:rRNA from 1 species
CCCGCUCCAUAGCGUAUAUUUAAGUUGUUGCAGUUAAAAAGCUCGUAGUUGGAUUUCGGGUGGGUUUCAGCGGUCCGCCUAUGGUGAGUACUGCUGUGGCCUUCCUUACUGUCGGGGACCUGCUUCUGGGCUUUACUGUCCGGGACAGGGAUUCGGCAUGGUUACUUUGAGUAAAUUAGAGUGUUCAAAGCAGGCUUACGCCGUGAAUACUUUAGCAUGGAAUAACAUGAUAGGACUCUGCCCUAUUGUGUUGGCCUGUAGGAGUGGAGUAAUGAUUAAGAGGAACAGUCGGGGGCAUUCGUAUUUCAUUGUCAGAGGUGAAAUUCUUGGAUUUAUGAAAGACGAACUACUGCGAAAGCAUUUGCCAAGGAUGUUUUCAUUAAUCAAGAACGAAAGUUGGGGGCUCGAAGACGAUUAGAUACCGUCGUAGUCUCAACCAUAAACGAUGCCGACUAGGGAUUGGCGGACGUUUUUGCAUGACUCCGUCAGCACCUUGAGAGAAAUCAAAGUUUUUGGGUUCCGGGGGGAGUAUGGUCGCAAGGCUGAAACUUAAAGGAAUUGACGGAAGGGCACCACCAGGCGUGGAGCCUGCGGCU